rnacentral:rRNA from 1 species
AUGACGACCAUGGUUGCCUUGAGCUCCUUCGCUGGUGCCACCGUCGUUGUCCGCCCCGCCUCCUGGUCUCCGGCGCUGACGCGUCAGCGCGCCCUCCUCGUCAGGGCGCAGACCGAGCCGGAUAUCGAGCCGACCAAGGAGACGACGAGCGCGUCGACAUCCUCCCCAACCCCAACCCCAAGCCCGGUGGCGCCCAAGCCCAAGCCCAAGGCUAACCCCUCGGUGUGGGACGCGCUCGCGUUCAGCGGCCCAGCGCCGGAGCGCAUCAACGGCCGGCUCGCUAUGGUGGGCUUCGUGGCGGCGUUCUCCGUCGAGGCAGCGCGCGGCGGCGGGCUACUCGACCAGGCCGGCAGCGGCGCCGGGUUGGGAUGGUUCCUGACGACCGCAGCGGUGUUCUCGGUGGCGUCGCUGGUGCCGCUCCUUCAGGGACAGAGCGUGGAGAGCAAGUCCAGCGGCGUAUGGAGCGCCGACGCCGAGCUAUGGAACGGCCGCUUCGCCAUGCUCGGCCUCGUCGCACUCGCCAUCACCGAGUUCAUCACCGGCACGCCCUUCGUCAACGUCUGA